GAUGAACGCUGGCGGCGUGCCUAAUACAUGCAAGUCGAGCGAACGGACGAGAAGCUUGCUUUUCUGAUGUUAGCGGCGGACGGGUGAGUAACACGUGGAUAACCUACCUAUAAGACUGGGAUAACUUCGGGAAACCGGAGCUAAUACCGGAUAAUAUUUUGAACCGCAUGGUUCAAAAGUGAAGGACGGUCUUGCUGUCACUUAUAGAUGGAUCCGCGCUGCAUUAGCUAGUUGGUAAGGUAACGGCUUACCAAGGCAACGAUGCAUAGCCGACCUGAGAGGGUGAUCGGCCACACUGGAACUGAGACACGGUCCAGACUCCUACGGGAGGCAGCAGUAGGGAAUCUUCCGCAAUGGGCGAAAGCCUGACGGAGCAACGCCGCGUGAGUGAUGAAGGUCUUCGGAUCGUAAAACUCUGUUAUUAGGGAAGAACAUAUGUGUAAGUAACUGUGCACAUCUUGACGGUACCUAAUCAGAAAGCCACGGCUAACUACGUGCCAGCAGCCGCGGUAAUACGUAGGUGGCAAGCGUUAUCCGGAAUUAUUGGGCGUAAAGCGCGCGUAGGCGGUUUUUUAAGUCUGAUGUGAAAGCCCACGGCUCAACCGUGGAGGGUCAUUGGAAACUGGAAAACUUGAGUGCAGAAGGGGAAAGUGGAAUUCCAUGUGUAGCGGUGAAAUGCGCAGAGAUGUGGAGGAACACCAGUGGCGAAGGCGACUUUCUGGUCUGUAACUGACGCUGAUGUGCGAAAGCGUGGGGAUCAAACAGGAUUAGAUACCCUGGUAGUCCACGCCGUAAACGAUGAGUGCUAAGUGUUAGGGGGUUUCCGCCCCUUAGUGCUGCAGCUAACGCAUUAAGCACUCCGCCUGGGGAGUACGACCGCAAGGUUGAAACUCAAAGGAAUUGACGGGGGCCCGCACAAGCGGUGGAGCAUGUGGUUUAAUUCGAAGCAACGCGAAGAACCUUACCAAAUCUUGACAUCCUUUGACAACUCUAGAGAUAGAGCCUUCCCCUUCGGGGGACAAAGUGACAGGUGGUGCAUGGUUGUCGUCAGCUCGUGUCGUGAGAUGUUGGGUUAAGUCCCGCAACGAGCGCAACCCUUAAGCUUAGUUGCCAUCAUUAAGUUGGGCACUCUAAGUUGACUGCCGGUGACAAACCGGAGGAAGGUGGGGAUGACGUCAAAUCAUCAUGCCCCUUAUGAUUUGGGCUACACACGUGCUACAAUGGACAAUACAAAGGGCAGCGAAACCGCGAGGUCAAGCAAAUCCCAUAAAGUUGUUCUCAGUUCGGAUUGUAGUCUGCAACUCGACUACGUGAAGCUGGAAUCGCUAGUAAUCGUAGAUCAGCAUGCUACGGUGAAUACGUUCCCGGGUCU
rnacentral:rRNA from 1 species